rnacentral:rRNA from 1 species
AUUGAACGCUGGCGGCAGGCCUAACACAUGCAAGUCGAACGAGUGGCGGACGGGUGAGUCAUGUCUGGGAACAUGCCCUCUUGAGGGGGCUAACUACUGGAACCUGUCGCUAAUACCGCCUACCAUCGGAUGUGCCCAGAUGUGAUUAGGUAGUAGGUGGGGUAACGGCUCACCUAGUCGACGAUCCCUAGCUGGUCUGAGAGGAUGACCAGCCACACUGGAACUGAGACACGGUCCAGACUCCUACGGGAGGCAGCAGUGGGGAAUAUUGCACAAUGGGAGCAAGCCUGAGACAGCCAUGCCGAGUGUAUGAAGAAGGCCUGCGGGUGGUAAAGUACUUUCAGCGAGGAGGCGUUACUCGCAGAAGAAGCACCGGCUAACUCCGUGCCAGCAGCCGCGGUAAUAC